CACGUAGGGGGCAAGCGUUGUCCGGAUUUACUGGCGUAAAGAGCGUGUAGGCGGCCAGGUAGGUCAGCUGUGAAAACUCGAGGCUCAACCUCGAGACGUCGGUUGAAACCAUCUGGCUAGAGUCCGGAAGAGGAGAGUGGAAUUCCCGGUGUAGCGGUGAAAUGCGCAGAUAUCGGGAAGAACACCCGUGGCGAAGGCGGCUCUCUGGGACGGUACUGACGCUGAGACGCGAAAGCGUGGGGAGCGAACAGG
rnacentral:rRNA from 1 species